rnacentral:rRNA from 1 species
GAACGAUGAAGCCCUUCGGGGUGGAUUAGUGGCGAACGGGUGAGUAACACGUGGGCAAUCUGCCCUUCACUCUGGGACAAGCCCUGGAAACGGGGUCUAAUACCGGAUAACACUUCUUCGGGCAUCUGAAGAGGUUAAAAGCUCCGGCGGUGAAGGAUGAGCCCGCGGCCUAUCAGCUUGUUGGUGGGGUAAUGGCCUACCAAUGCGACGACGGUUAGCCGGCCUGAGAGGGCGACCGGCCACACUGGGACUGAGACACGGCCCAGACUCCUACGGGAGGCAGCAGUGGGGAAUAUUGCACAAUGGGCGAAAGCCUGAUGCAGCGACGCCGCGUGAGGGAUGACGGCCUUCGGGUUGUAAACCUCUUUCAGCAGGGAAGAAGCGAAAGUGACGGUACCUGCAGAAGAAGCGCCGGCUAACUACGUGCCAGCAGCCGCGGUAAUACGUAGGGCGCAAGCGUUGUCCGGAAUUAUUGGGCGUAAAGAGCUCGUAGGCGGCUUGUCACGUCGGAUGUGAAAGCCCGGGGCUUAACCCCGGGUCUGCAUUCGAUACGGGCAGGCUAGAGUGUGGUAGGGGAGAUCGGAAUUCCUGGUGUAGCGGUGAAAUGCGCAGAUAUCAGGAGGAACACCGGUGGCGAAGGCGGAUCUCUGGGCCAUUACUGACGCUGAGGAGCGAAAGCGUGGGG